rnacentral:rRNA from 1 species
CACCGCGGUUAGACGAGAGACCCUAGUUGAUAUUAUACCGGCGUAAAGGGUGGUUAGGGCUAAGAAAAUAAUAAAGCCGAAUGGCCCCCUGGCCGUUAUACGCUUCUAGGCGUCCGAAGCCCACACAUACGAAAGUAGCUUUAAUUAAACCUGCCCGACUCCACGAAAGCUAAGAAA